rnacentral:rRNA from 1 species
UACGAAGGGGGCUAGCGUUGUUCGGAAUUACUGGGCGUAAAGGGCGCGUAGGCGGCCUUCUAAGUCGGACGUGAAAGCCCCAGGCUUAACCUGGGAACUGCGUCCGAUACUGGGAGGCUUGGAUUCGGGAGAGGGAUGUGGAAUUCCAGGUGUAGCGGUGAAAUGCGUAGAUAUCUGGAGGAACACCGGUGGCGAAGGCGGCAUCCUGGACCGAGAUCGACGCUGAGGCGCGAAAGCUAGGGGAGCGAACGGG